rnacentral:tRNA from 1 species
UUUUUUGUAGUAUAAAAAAUUACAGUUACCUUCCAAGUAAAAAAUCUCCUUUGCUUAAAGAUA